rnacentral:rRNA from 1 species
UACGUAGGGUGCAAGCGUUGCCCGGAUUUAUUGGGCGUAAAGGGCGCGUAGGCGGCUCGGAACGUCCGUUGUGAAAUCGCCCGGCUCAACUGGGCGGGGUCAGCGGAUACGGCCGAGCUUGAGCAAGCUAGGGGGCAAUGGAAUUCCCGGUGUAGUGGUGGAAUGCGUAGAUAUCGGGAGGAACACCAGUGGCGAAGGCGGCUCGCUGGACAAGCACUGACACUCAACUACGAAAGCGUGGGGAGCAAACAGG